ACAGACUCCCACGCCGGCGCGCAGCAGUUCAGCAGCAGCCUCGCCUGCUGCAUGGCCGCCGGACCUUAAAAGGCUCUGCGCCGCUCAGGAUAGAACUUCAAGAUGGACCUCCUUCUCCAAGAAAGUCUGGGUCUACGUGUGUGAUAGCUUACAAGAGGGCAAAUGCUUUGAGAUUGCCCAUGGAAGUGAAGCCUGUGGUCCUCGCAGAGUCACCAGAGACAGAGACAGAGUGCCAGUGGAGGAGGAGCAGAGAGAG